UACGUAGGGUGCAAGCGUUGUCCGGAAUUAUUGGGCGUAAAGAGCUCGUAGGCGGUUUGUCGCGUCUGGUGUGAAAAUCCAGGGCUUAACCCUGGACCUGCAUCGGGUACGGGCAGACUAGAGUGCGGUAGGGGAGAUCGGAAUUCCUGGUGUAGCGGUGAAAUGCGCAGAUAUCAGGAGGAACACCGGUGGCGAAGGCGGAUCUCUGGGCCGUAACUGACGCUGAGGAGCGAAAGCGUGGGGAGCGAACGGG
rnacentral:rRNA from 1 species